rnacentral:rRNA from 1 species
CCUACGGGAGGCUGCAGUGAGGAAUAUUGGUCAAUGGACGAGAGUCUGAACCAGCCAAGUAGCGUGAAGGAUGACUGCCCUAUGGGUUGUAAACUUCUUUUAUAUGGGAAUAAAACGUUCCACGUGUGGGAUUUUGUAUGUACCAUAUGAAUAAGGAUCGGCUAACUCCGUGCCAGCAGCCGCGGUAAUACGGAGGAUCCGAGCGUCAUCCGGAUUUAUUGGGUUUAAAGGGAGCGUAGGUGGAUUGUUAAGUCAGUUGUGAAAGUUUGCGGCUCAACCGUAAAAUUGCAGUUGAAACUGGCAGUCUUGAGUACAGUAGAGGUGGGCGGAAUUCGUGGUGUAGCGGUGAAAUGCUUAGAUAUCACGAAGAACUCCGAUUGCGAAGGCAGUUCACUGGACUGCAACUGACACUGAGGCUCGAAAGUGUGGGUAUCAAACAGGAUUAGAUACCCUUGUAGUC